rnacentral:rRNA from 1 species
UACGUAGGGGGCAAGCGUUGUCCGGAUUUAUUGGGCGUAAAGAGCGUGUAGGCGGCCAGAUAGGUCGGUUGUGAAAACUGGAGGCUCAACCUCCAGACGUCGACCGAAACUCUCUGGCUAGAGUCCGGAAGAGGAGAGUGGAAUUCCUGGUGUAGCGGUGAAAUGCGCAGAUAUCAGGAAGAACACCCGUGGCGAAGGCGGCUCUCUGGGACGGUACUGACGCUGAGACGCGAAAGCGUGGGGAGCGAACAGG